AUUUGAGACGAGGCUUGAUGUUGUACCUAAAAUGUAUUUCUAGAAACUGGCUACAAUAAAAAAAAGCUAUUUUUAAGGCAUAAAGUGCAGCUCUGUAGAUUUCUUUAUAUUUUGUAUGCACAUUAUUGCAUAUUAAAUUAUAUUCUAUUUGUUCUAAUCAAACCAAGAAGUGGCAUAGACAAGGAACAAGUCUGAUGUACAACCCUGGAACCUAGAUGGUAGCGGUAGCUUCAGGAUUCCCUCUGUCAAUCUGUGGACUUGUACACAAUUCAUCGGAACAGACUAUGCUGGUGUUUGGUGGAAAUACGUGCAAAGACAGGAAUGUGUUUUAAUCUCCAAUGUGAUUGUUAUGGAGGCCCACACAUGGACAAAUAGUCAUAUAUGGCUAAACUGUAUGGAAAAUCUGUGUGCUUUUAUCCUAAGAACCUUCGGAAAAUGAAGCACUCUGAGUGCCAUCAUGCCGGUGAUUUACAUUCUAGCUGGCGGGAGGCAGUUCGGGGA